UACGUAGGGUGCGAGCGUUAAUCGGAAUUACUGGGCGUAAAGCGUGCGCAGGCGGUUCGUUAUGUCCGUUGUGAAAGCCCCGGGCUCAACCUGGGAAUGGCAAUGGAAACUGGCGGGCUAGAGUGUGGCAGAGGGGGGUGGAAUUCCGCGUGUAGCAGUGAAAUGCGUAGAGAUGCGGAGGAACACCAAUGGCGAAGGCAGCUCUCUGGGACGGUACUGACGCUGAGACGCGAAAGCGUGGGGAGCGAACAGG
rnacentral:rRNA from 1 species